CUUCCAGUCGCCUCUUAGCUCCCCAGGCCACUGUCUUCUCUUAGCUCUCUGGCUCUCCCUUGUAGCUCUACCCCCACCCCAGCUCUCCCUGCUCUCAGCUCACCAUGCCUCCCCCCACCUCAACUCUCCCUCUCAGCUUGCGGUGCCCCCCCCAAACCCCCUAGCUCUCGCCUCUCAACUCCUCAUAGCUCGUGGUGCUCUCAACUCACGGUGCUUUCAGCUCGUCCUUCUCAGCUCGCUCACAACUUCUUCCUUCUUCCUCGCUUUACUCUCAAGCUCGUUAAUGUAAAGUGAGAAGAAAUUAUCAAAGGUGAUAGUACUAGAUAAGUAGAAAGAAGGUGCUAGCAAUACUAUUGAGGGCGGUGGCUAAAAGAUCAACAAAAACAAGCUCCUCUCGAAGAACAGCACAUCAAAAUUCAAUUUCAUAUUUUUAUUUUUCCUUUCUUUUUUCUUAUCGGGUAUGUUAAAGGGAUUCAAGAAGCAUUUUAUCAUCAUAAAGUUGGCCGGUUGUGUUUAUGAUUCUUACUAUGAUAGAUGCUAUUCUCAAACAAAUGUUUUCAUAAUUUUACAAAAUUAUACAGGCGGUGAAUGUCACUUAUUAUUGUGUAUUA